UACUUGCCUUUUGUCUAAACUAAAAAAGCCCCAAACAUUGUAGUCCUUCCUCAGAGUUUCUCUAGUCACUUGGACAUUUGGGUUUCCCCUUGCUGCACCUUUUCCAGCUCUGCAAUUUCCUUUGUCAGGUGUAGCGACCAGAAGUGAACACUAUAUUCUAAGCGUCCCUUUCCUAAUGACCCUUAAUGUGGAAUCCACCAUUGCGUGCCAAGACCCCGUGACCCCGCAGUUCCCUAAGGGUGAAUAACCAGACAAGACAACAGCAUGUGGUUUUAUGGGAUCGAAUAGGCCACAACUUUUAUUGGUUACAGAUGUGAGCGGUUUGGCAUAGGCACUGGGUGAAGCCAGGCAAUAUCAGAUGAUAUCUCUGCAUCCAAUCUGCUGAGAGUUCAUCUAAGGGCAAGCUACCAUUAGGGGGAGUCCUAUGACCUACAUCAAAUAGGAGUACCCCCUGAGGGGUUCCCGUUUGAGGAGUGGUAUGGCCCUAGCCCCUGUCUGGGUGUCGGACAGAAGCCACUCCCCCCAAAUCCUUUAACCAAGGAUGGGCAGGCAGCAAGUAGAGAAGGUUUCCCUAAUCCCAACAAGUGUGGCAGUUGGUGGUGUGAUUGUGGGCAAAGGCUUGUUCAGUGACCAUUGGCAAGGAAUGAGAACUCUGCCAUAAGGUCCCUGUCAGAUGAAACACGCAGUUCUGCAACCAAGUGGGCUUCAAACAGAUGAGAGUAACCCUCAAAGGCACUUUGCACAGAGGGAUGAUAUCAUGAGGCUUCCCUUGUUUUGACUUCUGAGUCUAGAUGUCAGUUUAAAAAUCAGAUGAAAGUGUGACUCAUCACGUUGUCUCCCUAAGUCUGGCGCUGGCAGCACUGAGCCCAGGGCAGCGUCAGGUCACCCGAUCGCAGAGUCACACCGGCGCAGAGGCCAGCAGAACAAAACACUUUCUGUACCAAUAUGACUUCAUUGGUCAUCCUUGCUGGCUGGCAAAGCAUGAAUGCUGCCCUUUGUCUUCUGCUUGCUACACACCAGGGAUUGCUGCCAAACACAACCUUCAGGUCAGGGACUGGAUCAAGAUCUCCAGGGAAAGGGAGGGGAUCCAUGCCGCCCAUCUGGCUUGGGACAGCUUGAGAUCUAAGUGAAUCCAUUCCAAAGUGCAGAAAGGUCAUUCUGUUAUGUGGCCAAGGACAGACCACAUCCACAAUAGUGACCUGUGAGGAAAUGUAUUGGUCCCAGUAGUAAAGUCUCAAUAUAACAAAGGAGUUGGGCAACUGUGCUUGGAGAGGGUAUCGUCAAUUUAUUUAUUAAAGCGUUAGCUAAAACUGUGGGGUUUUAGCCCUCACCAAUCUUGUGCCCUCUGGAUGCUAAUAGGAGUUUUAUAACACAUUGAAACACAGAAUUGUAGAGUUGGAAGGGACCUUGAGGAUCAUCUAGUCUAGCCCCCUGUAGUGCAGGAAUAUGCAGCUGUUUCAUACGGGGAUUGAAUCUGCAACCUUGGCAUUGCAGUCCAACGCAUCCAGAGGGCACUGGGUUGGCAAAGGCUGAUGUAGAAAUGUAGCUUUCUGUGUUACCUUAGCAGGGCAGCCUUGGGGGGCGGGGCCACAGUAAACCACAUCCAGAAACAGAUUAAAUGCCAUCUUCGGAGAGAGGAUAAAGAAACUAAGAUGUAGACAAUAAAGACCUAGUUAAUGGAAAAGUCACCUUGAAAUUGAAAAAAUAUAAGCUUAGUGUAGGAUUUAGUUUUAGGUCAUAAAAGGCAGCACACAAACUACAUGUUAGAGCAGGCCUCAAUCAGGGCUGGUACAGAGAACCAGCAGAUCUUUCUCUGCUGCCCAGAACAGCCAUUUUGUGUUGGCACCCACAACACUUUUAUCAAUAUAUGAUCUCUCUCUUACAAAAUAAAUAAAUAAAUAAAAAGCACUGGCCUCAGCCUAAAUUAAAUAUUUCAGCUUUUAGUUCAGUUUAAAACCCGUUAAAAACCUAGUUUCAUUUUAAACAAGAGCAAACUUAGAAUGUCAGUUUUCAGUACAGUUUUCAAAACUAGAGAAUAAGUUAAAAGUAGCAUGUAAGUUACUGCGCUUUUAGAUUGUAUAACAUCUCCUGAUGUUUUAUAUGAAAUGUGCAGUUUAUGCAUAUUUAAAUUACAUAAAAUGAUGGAGCAAAGGACCCAAACCCAAUAGGUUCAAAUUACUAGAAAAGGGAUUUCAGCUAAACAUUAGGAAGGCAGGAAAAGGCAUAGACCAAGAGGACAGCUGUUCUAGUGUUAGCAGCUCCUGACCUACAGCUGUAGUUUAUUUCUGAUGCCACCAUAUUUAAGUUAUUAACAUGGAAGGAAUAUCAGCCAUUUGACAAUGGCUUUGUUGAUGCUUGAUUAGCUUCUGAUUGGUCUUCAUAUAAUUCCUUCUUUUUAAUUAUAUUAUUAAAGUACAGUGUUGAGGUUGAACCUUUCACCUUCCACAACCUUGGAAGUUAAAAGGCAGGCCCUGGCAGAGUCCCUGUCAUAGUGUCCAUGGUCUCUGUUUAGCUUGUUCAUCAUCUGAUGGGAACUGGAACAUCAGGGAUUAGGUUUGUGGGGAAAGCUGCUCUGUGAAUGUCAGAAAAAAGAUGGGUUUGAUUUAUUUGAAAUCCCACAACCUUUGAAAAGUGCCUUGGUUAGUGUUUUCAGAGCUUGCACCAUUCCUUCCCAAAUGGUGCAGUCUGUGCAAAGGUAUGUCGGGCAUGAUAACUGAGGCAUGGGUUGGGUUGUGGGGGAAUAAAGUGGAAGCAUAUGUGCUCCACAGCAGUCUACAUGUGCUGUAAACAAGAAAAGGCCUUAAGAGCAGUGUUUACCAGGAAGGGUGAUCUGUAUGGGCAGGAGGCAGCCCAGUUGCUCAACUUUCUUUCACAAUGGAAGCUCAGGCAAAAGAUGGUCAAAUGCUUCUCCAGAAGUGCCCUUGUCGAGAUGAUGCUGCAGCUGUUAGAAGAUAAUUUACCCCAAGUUUUCUAUUUUCAUAUAUGAUUCCCAGCUAAGGAGGGGAAUAACCAGUGCUAUGCUGAAAAUGACAAACCUAGACAGCAUCUUUAAAAGUAGUAUAGUAAAAGCUAUGGUUUUCCCAGUAGUGAUAUAUGGAAGUGAGAGCUGGACCAUAAAGAAGGCUGAUCGCCAAAGAAUUGAUGCUUUUGAAUUAUGGUGCUGGAGGAGACUCUUGAGAGUCCCAUGGACUGCAAGAAGAACAAACCUAUCCAUUCUUAAGGAACUCAGCCCUGAGUGCUCACUGGAAGGACAGAUCCUGAAGCUGAGGCUCCAAUACUUUGGCCACCUCAUGAGAAGAGAAGACUCCCUGGAAAAGACCCUGAUGUUGGGAAAGAUGGAGGGCACAAGGAGAAGGGGACGACAGAGGACAAUAUGGUUGGAUAGUGUUCUCGAAGCUACCAGCAUGAGUUUGACCAAACUGCGGGAGGCAGUGGAAGACAGGAGUGCCUGGCGUGCUCUGGUCCAUGGGGUCACGAAGAGUCGGGCACAACUAAACGACUAAACAACAACAACAACAUGCUGAAAAUCUAUCCAACCUUUCUCUAUCAAUUAAUGAGAAAAGAAAUUGCAUUCAGAAAUUAUCAAAGGGGAGAGAAAAUAUUGGUGAAAUUCUCAUCAGGUGAGAUUCAGCGUUUUGGAUGUGCUAACCUUAUUUUUAAGGUGGUCAAUGGGUGUUUGUGAGUUCCUUCCUUCCUCCUCACCAGUGAGCUGCACUCUGCAGCCUUUGGGAAUGCUUCAGUCAAAGUCCAGUGGAAAACACUCAGAAAUUUGGGCAGCCAGGAAGAUUGCAGAGAGCUAGAGAAAUGUUUACUCGAAAGAAAAAAAAGGUAUGCUUCGUGCCCUCAACCACCUCACAACAAUAUUGUAAGCUCAAAGCCCUGCACUGACCAAAAUUCUAAAGAAAUUCUCAAAUGCCCUAAGAAUGGAGCAAAUAAAGAAAUGAAGUUGAAGCUCUUUUUUCCCCCACAGAGGAAGAAAACUUUUGAGAAACUGGAGGGCAGAUUUCAGCACAGUGCUAGAAAUAGCUGCUGCUUUAUUUUUAUGAUCUUGUACUUUCAAACACAAGGGCCAGGCUGAUCAUUCUCUUUUCAGUUCCCCACAAUAGAUGCCAUUUAUGCUAAUGGAUAACCGUAACUGUGCCUCCAUUAAGAACUUGCUUCAAGAAAGAGUUCAGGUGUCUAUAGGCAGCACAUAAAAUACAGUGUGUCUUGUGGGGAACAGAGCUGAAGACCUUUUGGUCCAGAAAUGAAGCAAUUGUAGUAAAAAAGAAAGCUGCCAACCCAGAGGUGUUAAGGGCUUUGCUGUUGUUCUUCAUCUGAUGUUCCAUUCUGCACCAUUACACCUAAUAGGCAGAUAUUCUGGGUCUUUAUUUCAUGCACUUGCUAAUGUUCUUUGGAAGGGACUUAACAAAGACAUAGUGAAGCAAACAGAAGUCCUUCAUAUUGUUGAUAUUAUCUGAUGGGAUACUGAGAGAUUAUUUGGCUUCAGGUCAUCAUAUCACUUGAAACUUGAUGAUCACUGAUCCACAGUUGUUUCAGGCAGUCUACAGUAAUUAUUUCAAGUGUAAAUUCAGAUGAGAAAAUGGGAAAUUAUGCACAAAAUGACUACCCAGGGGAGGAAGAUAAAUAAUUGCCACCCAUUAUUUCCACAUCGGGAGACCUGGUCAAAAUUACUGUGUAGAGCAAAGAAAGGCAACAUUUCUUCCUCCUCCCACUCUUGUCCAGAGACAAAGAAAAAUAGAGAUCCCAUAAUUAAAGGUGCCCCCCCCACUCCCACCAGAGGGAUGUGCAUGAAAGGGGAUUAGGAGAAAAAUAACAGGACUUGUUUUCUCAUUUUUUGGCGAGAGGAAAGGGAAAGGAAGGGCUCUAAAUCAAAUAUUUAAAUCUGAAAGCUGUUGUUUAGACCAACGGGGAGUCCACUGUUCUGAAUGCAAGAGAUCAGGGGCCCAUGUAGAGUUGCCAGUGCAAAAUUUCAAAUAUAAGGGGUACUGUGGAGUUGUGGCAUCUGUUCCACAGUUUUAUAGAGCUUUAGUAUUCUGAAACAGGCAACAGCAGUGAUAGUGUAGUAGAACUUGGAUAUUUUAUUAUGAGAGUCACUAAAUUUUUACCUUUUAAGAAGUACCUGUAAAAUGUUUAUGUGGACAUCUAAAAAAGUAAUGUGUAAAUCAUAGACAUGCCAGGGACCCAGGAUUGCCUAUGGCUCCCUACUGCAUGUAUCAUAGAGUGGCAAACCUUAAUUUACUGCUGUAUAAUGUGAGCUGGCCCUUAGAGACAUCUGAUAAUCUUAAAGCUGCACAAUCUUGGGAUUGUUAAACACUUUGGACACAAUCCAGCUGAUGUUAAGCACUUUUGUGCCACAUAAGAGAAUUAUGCACAUAAUUAACUCAUCUGUUGAAAUCAACGGGAUUUAAAGGUGCUUUAAUGGAUGUACUGAGCAGUGUGUCGUUUUCUCCCCAACAAGCAGCCAAAAGGAAUCCAAAGUGACAACUGUUGCCAUCCUUACACACCACAUUUGAUAAUGUAAAAUUCCAUCCCUUAGACUUUUAAUAUCUUUCCUGUGUUCCUGCAGCCUCAGAGCAAUGAGAAACAUCCAACUUGGCAGCAAUAUGUGGAGAAGGGGGGACAUUUUAGAAAGUUGUGAUUAUUCUGGUGUGUUUAUAGAGGCAUAAGGGUGGAUAACCAUGGCAGACAGGUCCAAUGUAAGGUUGCCACUUUUUCAGUUAUUAAAACCAUUUAAUCAACUAAAAGGUGCCCCCUGUUUAAUCAGACAGCAGGCUUUUCGAAAUAUGUCACCCAUACAAAUACUUAUGAAAACUGCAGAUAAGGAAAAGGCACGCCCCUUUUCUCUCACAUAAGAGGGAAUGCCUCUUCUACAAUGAUGCUGCCUUCAAUACGUGUGUGUAUUAUCUAAAGAAUGGUAGGGGGAGGAAGUAUGCUUCUUUGCCUCAGAAAUAUUGGAUGGUAUUCUGCUAAGAAGUCCCAUCAGAGACGGAUUUCCACUUGCACAACAGGGUUUCCCCUCUCUCUUUUCCUCAUGUGUGCUCCAUAACAUCCUCAAAUCUACUCCAAGGGGAACCCCUAAAGAGAUUUAGGUGUGGUGUUUGGGGACGAGAGUGGGAGAACAUUCUACUGCGCAAGCAGAAAUCCUUGUGCUGACGCAAUGUUCCCCUCAGCACUAUCUUGGGUUCUAUCCACUGUUUUUUACCCAGAUACAACUUUAUGCAAACUUUAAUAGAUUUAACUGCAUAACAUUUAUUCAGUUGGCUUAUAACUCUAGUUCAAAACUGCAAGAUUCUGAAACUAAAAACUGUCUCACCUAACCAGGAGGCUACUGUGGUGUAGUGGCUAUAGAGAGAGUGUCAUACUAGGGCUGGGGAGAUGCAGAUUCAAUCUCCCCUCAUCAGCCAUGAGGUUCACAAUGGGUGUCUUUGACAAAUAAAUGUAAUUU
rnacentral:lncRNA from 1 species